rnacentral:lncRNA from 1 species
CCUAGAACUUGCGUUACCAGAUGGUACUCGUUGAAGAUGUGGAUAUUGGUAGUGUAAAGUGAAAUGACGCGAUUCGUGAGGUGGCAAACUCCCAGAGACAAGACCACAGCUAAGGACUGGUUCAGCAAUGAAUGGAUUGUGGACGUACCAAGCAGAACCUGGUGCCACAUGGCGUGAAAGGAAUACUUGACUGAUUGGUAGGAGGCAUCCUGGGGCAUCUCGUGCAGAAGGAGCACGCAAGACUCGUCGCGUCAACGUCAUCAUUUACUCCUGACGACUGUUGCCAUUGAGGGGUAGAUGGUAAAUACUGGACCAAAGCAGCUUGGGAUUGGUUGUCUUCGGGCGUUUACUGGAGACUAAAGAUAAGAGUGGCGCAUGGAUAUUAACACGCAAUGUGAAAUUGAGGGUGGCAGCAGCAGAAGGAUGUGUCGGCAGGGAUCGCAGCACC